rnacentral:tRNA from 1 species
AUUAGGGUAUUUAGCUGUUAACUAAAGUUUCGUGGGAUGGUAGCCCACCAAUCUAG